rnacentral:rRNA from 1 species
AUUGAACGCUGGCGGCAUGCCUUACACAUGCAAGUCGAACGGCAGCACGGACUUCGGUCUGGUGGCGAGUGGCGAACGGGUGAGUAACGUAUCGGAACGUAUCCAAUAAUGGGGGAUAACUAAUCGAAAGGUUGGCUAAUACCGCAUACGCCCUACGGGGGAAAGCUAGGGACCUUCGGGCCUGGCGUUAAUGGAGCGGCCGAUAUCUGAUUAGCUAGUUGGUGGGGUAAAGGCCCACCAAGGCGACGAUCAGGAGCUGGUCUGAGAGGACGACCAGCCACACUGGAACUGAGACACGGUCCAGACUCCUACGGGAGGCAGCAGUGGGGAAUUUUGGACAAUGGGCGCAAGCCUGAUCCAGCCAUUCCGCGUGAGUGAAGAAGGCCUUCGGGUUGUAAAGCUCUUUCGCAAGGGAAGAAAACUUAUCCUCUAACAUAGGAUGAGGUUGACGGUACCUUGAUAAGAAGCACCGGCUAACUACGUGCCAGCAGCCGCAGUAAUAC